rnacentral:rRNA from 1 species
GAUGAACGCUGGCGGCGUGCCUAAUACAUGCAAGUCGAGCGAACAGACGAGGAGCUUGCUCCUCUGACGUUAGCGGCGGACGGGUGAGUAACACGUGGAUAACCUACCUAUAAGACUGGGAUAACUUCGGGAAACCGGAGCUAAUACCGGAUAAUAUAUUGAACCGCAUGGUUCAAUAGUGAAAUACGGUUUUGCUGUCACUUAUAGAUGGAUCCGCGCCGCAUUAGCUAGUUGGUAAGGUAACGGCUUACCAAGGCAACGAUGGGUAGCCGACCUGAGAGGGUGAUCGGCCACACUGGAACUGAGACACGGUCCAGACUCCUACGGGAGGCAGCAGUAGGGAAUCUUCCGCAAUGGGCGAAAGCCUGACGGAGCAACGCCGCGUGAGUGAUGAAGGUCUUCGGAUCGUAAAACUCUGUUAUUAGGGAAGAACAAAUGUGUAAGUAACUAUGCACGUCUUGACGGUACCUAAUCAGAAAGCCACGGCUAACUACGUG